rnacentral:rRNA from 1 species
UACGUAGGGGGCAAGCGUUGUCCGGAUUUAUUGGGCGUAAAGAGCGUGUAGGCGGCCAUGUAGGUCCGUUGUGAAAACUCGAGGCUCAACCUCGAGACGCCGAUGGAAACCAUGUGGCUAGAGUCCGGAAGAGGAGAGUGGAAUUCCUGGUGUAGCGGUGAAAUGCGCAGAUAUCAGGAAGAACACCCGUGGCUAAGGCGGCUCUCUAGUACGGUACUGACGCUGAGACGCGAAAGCUAGGGGGAGCAAAACGGG